GUUCCACCUCUUCCCAUUCCGAACAGAGAAGUUAAGCUCAGUCACGCCGAUGGUACUGCGUAACAGUGGGAGAGUAGGUAGUCGCCGUUU
rnacentral:rRNA from 2 species